UCUAACGCCGCAGUGGAUUAGAGCAUCUGAGAAGCUCUGGAAAAAACCUCUCAGGAAAACAACGACUUCAGCAGGACCCACUAGCCAAGGAAAGGGGAUAAAAUAAAUAGCAAAGGGAAGGAAAAACACGCACCUCUGGGAUGCUGCAGGUCCUGUUGCAGCCGCCGCCAUCCCUCGAAGCCACCGUUGCUUCUGCCAGAGCUGCUACUAGCGCGCUUAUCAGCUCCGCCACCGCCCAAGGGGGAAACUUCUGCAGAAACCCCAACCGAGCUUCCGUCGACUGUUCUACAUUUGGCCUGUGCCCAUGGCCAUGUGGAAGUGGUCACUCUCUUGCUGGGGAGAAGAUGCCUGAUUGACAUCUGUGACAGACUAAACAGGACGUCUUUAAUGAAGGAGGGAAACACUCCACUUUUGUUUGCUAUAAAUUCUGGGAGACAGCAUGUGGUGGAAUUCUUAUUGAAGAACCAGGCAAAUAUACAUGCCG
rnacentral:lncRNA from 1 species